rnacentral:tRNA from 1 species
GCCCAGCUAGCUCAGUUGGUCGAGCAUGAGACUCUUAAUCUCAGGGUUGUGGGUUUGAGCCCCAUGUUGGGCA